rnacentral:rRNA from 1 species
AUUGAACGCUGGCGGAAUGCUUUACACAUGCAAGUCGAACGGCAGCACGGGGGCAACCCUGGUGGCGAGUGGCGAACGGGUGAGUAAUACAUCGGAACGUGCCCGGUCGUGGGGGAUAACGUAGCGAAAGUUACGCUAAUCCCGCAUACGAUCUGAGGAUGAAAGCGGGGGACCUUCGGGCCUCGCGCGAUCGGAGCGGCCGAUGUCAGAUUAGGUAGUUGGUGGGGUAAAGGCCUACCAAGCCGACGAUCUGUAGCUGGUCUGAGAGGACGACCAGCCUCACUGGGACUGAGACACGGCCCAGACUCCUACGGGAGGCAGCAGUGGGGAAUUUUGGACAAUGGGCGCAAGCCUGAUCCAGCCAUUCCGCGUGCAGGACGAAGGCCUUCGGGUUGUAAACUGCUUUUGUAUGGAACGAAAAGGCUCUGGCUAAUACCUGGGGCUCAUGACGGUACCGUAAGAAUAAGCACCGGCUAACUACGUG